rnacentral:lncRNA from 1 species
UUUCAAGGUUAUAGACAAUUUGAACCGAAUACCAAAAGGUGAACCAAUCGGUAUGUUUAUCAAUGGAGUAUCACAAGGAAAAUGGGCCAUAUUUUGGAACUGUCACGUGACCGGGUCCGUUGCGUCAUAUGAGAUAAUAAAACAGACUUGUGGAUCUCCAGCAACCCUGACAGAGGCUGGUCAUGACGAGGACAUGUAUUAUACGCUGAACUGGUAGUUUCAAUUAUUCACUGUUCAAUAGCCGAUAUUAAAUGCCAAUAAAUUCGAAAGAUAA